UACAGAGGGGGCAAGCGUUGUUCGGAAUUACUGGGCGUAAAGGGCGCGUAGGCGGCCUGUUAAGUCGGACGUGAAAUCCCCUCGGCUCAACCGGGGAACUGCGUCCGAUACUGGCGGGCUUGAAUUCGGGAGAGGGAUGUGGAAUUCCAGGUGUAGCGGUGAAAUGCGUAGAUAUCUGGAGGAACACCGGUGGCGAAGGCGGCAUCCUGGACCGACAUUGACGCUGAGGCGCGAAAGCCAGGGGGAGCAAACGGG
rnacentral:rRNA from 1 species